rnacentral:lncRNA from 1 species
GGGAAAUUUUAUAACUAGUUUUUGUCUCUCGAAUAACCAACUGACGAUUUUUGGUAAAGAUCGGGUGGUUAUUUAUUUGUUUGUUUAUUGGUAUUUGGUAAUUAUAAUAAACUGAAUCAAGUGGGAACUGGGCGGCUGCAAGCACGUGUUUAAAGAACUCUAUGGUGCAUACAUUCAACAGACCAAAAACUCUCUGGAAAAUGUUUGCUACCCCAUCCCAAUUCCUGAUAGUAAAAUGCAUUAGAAAAAUCUGCAUUUAGUUUCUGUUCUGCAGCUUCUUUCCAAUAGAACUCUCCUACUCUACUUCUCCAUGUCACUCAUAGAUGCAUAAUUAGCAGUCUCAAAUCUUCCUCUAUUGAUCGAACUCAUAUGUGACGGAAAAUCCAUCUGACUCUGAAUGGCACUAGUCACGUUGCUGGACUUCAUGUGUUUAGAUGUGUUGGGUUUCUCUUAAUGAAUGAUACAAUGGAGACACUGGCAGUGAGAAAAAAGGGGAGAAACUUUGGGGAGAAAUAUGCCUUCCUGGCAUCCGGUCAGAUAAUUAUUUCGUGUAAUAUUCCUAACGAUGGCAAAAAUGUGAAAACUGA